ACGUAGAAACACCUGUUCUCGUACGAUAACCGAAGUUAAGCAACGUCGAGCCUGGUCAGUACGUAGAUAAGUAACCGCUUUGGAAUAUCAGGAGCAGUA